UUUCCAGUGGUAGCUAUUUCCAUAACACGUUCCAGAUCACCCCAAGUACAAUUUGGAGACCUCUACGUUCAAACCGAGAGCAGGUGAAGCUAGGCUCAUCGUUGUACAUACCAUGUCACUCUCCUGAAGAUGUCCUCACUAGUACCGACGAAAUGUCACAAUUGUCGUGGUAUCGGAACGGGGUACAGAUUAGAGAUGACGACAACUACGCGACUCUUAUUAGUCAAAGAUUCUGGGAUGAGAAACAGCUAGUUUCCUUCCUCUGGUGCAUAGUGAAUACUGACAAUGUGGAAGCUUUCGGAACAUAUGAGUGUCGCUCCAAAGACGAUAUCAAAAUAUCGACUGCUCCAUCAGAGACCCUACAAAGCUUUUCAAUUGACCCUCACAACUGGACUG